rnacentral:SRP_RNA from 1 species
UUAUGAGGGCAAUAAGGUGCUCGGAUAACGGGUCAGAUCCUAACGGAAGCAGCCCACCUGGGAUUUCCUUAUGUGCCCUCACUUUUU